CUGUCACCUCCCACCCGUGCUGACCCAUCAGGCGCGCACACCCUGAGGCGGACACAGACCCUGCCCCGUUCUCUCUGCAGCCCAAGCUGCAUUCUGCAAAUGAGCACGACCUACUUCAUGAGACCUGUUCUACCCUCAGAUACCAGGAUGAGUUGACCUGAGAUCUGAAGCCUGUUCUACUCUGGCCACCCUGACUCCUUUGCCUCCUGAAAAUCCAGUUGAAGUGUUGAGACUGCAGAACAGAAAUAUGGAAAGAUGGGUUAUUUAUGCCAUGGUGAGAUUAACCAACCCUGUAACUGCUUUGCCAUCACCCUCCUUGUAAUAUGAGCAGCCACAUGCAUGAUCUCAGAAGCUGAUCCUUCCCAAAACAAGCCUUGUGGUGACUACAGCCCAGCCAACACUCGGACUGCAGCCUGUGUGAGAUCCUGAGUCAGAGACACCUCAACACCACACCCUGAGUCCUGACCCACAGGCAC